rnacentral:lncRNA from 1 species
UAGGUAAGUUUUGUUUUCAAAAUUGAAUGGUUCUCGAGAAGAAAUUGUACUUGAAUGAUGCUUGCUUUUUUUUUUUUUUUUUUUUCGUUUUCAUGUUGUUUUGUCUCUAUCAUUGUGUGUGGAAGAAAUUGUGUUCUUUUUGUGUAACCUUAGAGUUUUUGAAGUAGUCGGUUUGUGGCAGAAAUUCUUGUGGUUUUUUGCCUC